rnacentral:lncRNA from 1 species
AGAUCAGAUGUGAGCUCCCAUCUUCUUCUCUAGCACCAGGCUUGCCCAUGGGCAUGCUGCAUACUCUCUGCCGUGAUGAUAAUGAACCAACCCUCUGAAACUAGACAUGAAGGGGCAAGAUCCAGGAUUGUGUGAACAGAGCAUUGAGCACAGUACUCCUUGCCUGUAGCCACAUUGAUAUCUUCACUCUUUAGUAGAUGCUUGCUGAAUACCUGCUGCACGCCAAGUGUGCAGCCAGGCCCUGGGGUCCAGCAGGCCGUGAGAUGGAGACAGGCCCCAAUGGACAACCAAUGUGUGGUUCCGCCAAAGCUUUACUUAGCGACCAGUGAGUUCGACUGAAUGUGUGACCCUAUAAGAGUUACAACUCCGAGGGGAAAGUCUUCCAAAGUGGAAGUAUUGCAGCUCUGAAGGGAAAAGUGUCCUGGCAAUUGGGAGCCAAGGAAUACCACAUGGUCACACCAU